rnacentral:rRNA from 1 species
GAUGAACGCUAGCGGCAGGCCUAAUACAUGCAAGUCGGACGGGAUUCAGGAGCUUGCUUCUGAUGAGAGUGGCGCACGGGUGCGUAACACGUAUGUAACCUACCUUUAUCAGGGGGAUAGCCUCUCGGAAGAGAGAUUAAGCCCUCAUAAAAUCACAGCACAGCAUUGUGUAAUGAUCAAAUAUUUAUAUUAUAAAGAUGGGCAUGCGGAACAUUAGCUAGAUGGCGGUGUAACGGCCCACCAUGGCGACGAUGUUUAGGGGAUCUGAGAGGAUGUCCCCCCAGAAUGGUACCGAGACACGGACCAGAAUGGGACGGGAGGCAGCAGUAAGGAACAUUAGGGGAUGGGCGGAAGCCGGAACCAGCCACGCCGGGUGCAGGAAGACGGGGAUACGGGUUGUAAACUGCUUGUAUACGGGAAAAAACCAAGAUACGUGGAACCGGCUGAAUGUACUGAAAGAAUAAGGAACGGCUAACUACGUG